UACGGGGGGAGCAAGCGUUGUUCGGAUUUACUGGGCGUAAAGGGCGCGUAGGCGGCCAGUGCAAGUCAGUUGUGAAAUCUCCGAGCUUAACUCGGAAAGGUCAACUGAUACUGCUCGGCUAGAGUGCGGAAGGGGCAACUGGAAUUCUUGGUGUAGCGGUGAAAUGCGUAGAUAUCAAGAGGAACACCUGCGGCGAAGGCGGGUUGCUGGGCUGACACUGACGCUGAGGCGCGAAAGCUAGGGGAGCAAACGGG
rnacentral:rRNA from 1 species